CACCAGAUCACGUUUCUACUGGUUGAAAACUGCUCCUAGGGGGUUUCCUUGUUUUAGUCCCGAAAGUUCUGUUUCCUGGGAAACCCCUUAGUCCCAGGCAACCCAGGACAGUUGGUCACCCAGGCACCAGGGCACAACUGAAUCAAGAAACAAUGACAUGCUAAAAUCUCAUGACAUGUUAUGAGAUUGUAUACUGGGUCCAAAAUACCAACAGCUGAGAUGCAAGAUGGAGAUACGGCUUAGCAUCCCUCGUGGAAAAUAAAUCAGGGGCUUUAGCUUAUUUUGAGCUCAAUUGGCGUCAACAGUGUGAUUGGCCCUCCAAAAAGCGAAUACAUCAGAGGCAUUAAUGAAAGCAUUGUUACAGGAACAAAAUUCACAACAGUAGACAAAAGCUAGGACCAUCAGAUGAUCUGUUGUCAAAAUCUGGGAGGACUUCGCACUGAUUUGAGAGGAUAAAGUGGAAUUAGACAAAAAUAAGUUCUCAGGAUGCCAAAGGCAAAGGCAAAGAGAUGGUACUAGUUGUCACAGACAGGUGAAAGGACAAAGGGCACAGGAGUCUGAUUUUACUUAUAAAUUCCUCAAUUUAUUAAGAAAAGAUCUUCUCAUGGUGAAUGUCUGAGACCUACCAGUAGCGUCUGUGUUGCUAUGGUGAUGCAGCUGGUCUGCCAGAGGGAGCGGGGCUACUCUCUACAGUUGUCUACUGAAGGGGUUCCUGGGACAUAGGGAGACACAGGCCUUUUAGUGUUUUGUUAUUUUCUGGUAUGACUUUUCCAGAUGUCAUGGCUUUGGGAAGUGGAUCUCAAAUUUGAAUCUGACCGAUACACUGAGAUAUGGAGAAGAAGGAAACCUGGAACUGAGGCCACGUCAGACAAGCAUUGUUCCCUGGAGGCAUUGCAGGGGCCCUGCCUCUGAAGCCAAUGAUGGCGCGUUGCUGAGUCUCUGUUCUGACACGGAUGUGUGCUCUGAGAGUCAGGGCGAGUCCCUGGGCUGAACCGCUUAUGGGCCACUCAAGGAAGAGGGAGAUGGGCAGACUCCUGCUCAUCCUUCAGUCCUUGGCUCACGCAUCACUCCAAGAGGAAGCCUUCUGCACUCUUCUCCAGCAGAGUUGGUGACCCGGCACUGCGUCAUUUUGUCAGGCCUUGCCCUGUGCUCUGUCCCUGCCCUGGCCACGUGUGGGUCAAAUGCAUCGUUCCGUAUCUGUCUCCCCACCAGCCUCGGAACAACUGUCUCCCCCAUCUCUGCAGCCCUAGAAAGCUGCACAAAGUCUGAAUACAGAAAUGUCUGGAAGAAAUGCGUAUACCCUCCCAUGUAGGGCAGUUUGCUGUAAAUGUCCCUUGAGUGGUUAUGGCUCAAGGAGUCCAGAGAAAACUAAAUCCUCAUGGACUUAGGGGGUCAAGGAGGGCGUCCAGGCAGAGGUAGGCC
rnacentral:lncRNA from 1 species